rnacentral:rRNA from 1 species
GACGAACGCUGGCGGCGUGCUUAACACAUGCAAGUCGAACGGAAAGGCCCGGCUGUUGUGUGGUGCCCGAGUGGGUAACGGGUGAGUGAGGCGCGAGUAACCUGCCCUUGACUUUGGGAUAGCUCACAGAAGGAGAGGAUAGUACCUACUACGAGCUCCUGCAGCACGGUGUCGGGUGGAGAGUAACGGCGGUUGGGACUGGUCUCGCGGCUUUUCAGCUUGUGGGUGGGGUAGUGGCUUACCAAGGCUUUGACGGGGCGCCGGCCUGAGAGGGUGACCGGCCCCAUUGGGCCUGAGGUACGACCAAGAGGGAUACGGGCGGCAGCGGUGGGAAAUAUUGCACAAUAGGCGGCAGCCUGAUGCAGCGCCUCCGCGUUCGGAAUGACGGCUUUCGGGUUGUAAACCGCUUUCGCCUGUGACGAAGAGGGAGUGACGGUAACGGAUAAAGAAGCAACGGCUAACUACGUG